AAUCUUGCGCAAUGGGCGAAAGCCUGACGCAGCGACGCCGCGUGUGGGAUGAAGGCCUUCGGGUUGUAAACCACUGUCGGGAGGGACGAAUAAACUGACGGUACCUCCAAAGGAAGCACCGGCUAACUCCGUGCCAGCAGCCGCGGUAAUACGGAGGGUGCGAGCGUUGUCCGGAAUCACUGGGCGUAAAGGGCGCGUAGGCGGCCCGGUAAGUAGGAGGUGAAAUCCUGAGGCUCAACCUCAGGGCUGCCUUCUAAACUGCCAGGCUCGAGCACAGUAGAGGCAGGUGGAAUUCCCGGUGUAGCGGUGGAAUGCGUAGAGAUCGGGAAGAACAUCGGUGGCGAAGGCGGCCUGCUGGGCUGUUGCUGACGCUGAGGCGCGACAGCGUGGGGAGCAAAC
rnacentral:rRNA from 1 species